CAAAUUUUUUUCAAUAUUUUUCCAUGUGAUUUUUGUUAUUAUAAGUUUAUAUAGGUUGAAAUCAAGGAAUUCGAAUACAUUUGCAUUUUAGCCAAAUGGAUCAAAUAAGGCAAAGUUAACCUAAGCCUACUCUAAAUUUAUUUUAGCUUUAGAUUUUAAAAUAAAGCCCAACAGAAAUGCUCUACAAUUUUUAUUUCUAGCUGAUUAGUCUUUUGCUUAACUUUUUUUAAAAGACAAAA
rnacentral:lncRNA from 1 species